UCUGUUUCAAGAAAUAGGAAGGUGGGGGUGAAGCUUAGUACUCAACUUUUGGAGAAGGUGAGUAUGACGGUGGGGGUGGGGAACUGUAAACAUAUGGUGGUGGAGGAGACUUGUAGUCUACCUUAGGAGAUGGAGAGUAUGAUGGUGGUGGUGGGGAGCUGUAAACAUAUGGUGGUGGAGGAGACUUGUAAUCUACCUUAGGGGAUGGAGAGUAGUAUGGUGGUGGUGGAGAGCUGUAAACAUAGGGUGGUGGAGGAGACUUGUAGUCUACUUUAGGGGCUGGCGAGUAGUAUGGUGGUGGUGGAGAACUGUAAACAUACGGUGGUGGGGGAGACUUGUAGUCAACCUUAGGGGCGGGAGAGUAAUAUGGUGGUGGUGGAGAGCUGUAGACGUAUGGUGCUGGAGGAGACUUGUAGUCUACCUUAGGGGCUGGCGAGUAGUAUGGUGGUGGUGGAGAACUGUAAACAUACGGUGGUGGGGGAGACUUGUAGUCAACCUUAGGGGCUCGUAGAGUAAUAUGGUGGUGGUGGAGAGCUGUAGACGUAUGGUGGAGGAGGAGACUUGUAUACAACCUUAGGGGAUGGAGAAUAGUACGGUGGUGGUGGGGAACUGUAAACAUAUGGUGGUGGAGGAGACUUGUAGUCUACCUUUGGGGAUGGAGAGUAGUAUGGUGGUGGUGGAGAGCUGUAGACGUAUGGUGGAGGAGGAGACUUGUAUACAACCUUAGGGGAUGGAGAGUAGUACGGUGGUGGUGGGGAACUGUAAACAUAUGGUGGUGGAGGAGACUUGUAGUCUACCUUAGGGGAUGGAGAGUAGUAUGGUGGUGGUGGAGAACUAUAGACAUAUGGAGGAGGAGGAGACUUGUAUACAACCUUAGGGGAUGGAGAAUAGUAUGGUGGUGGUGGAGAGCUGUAAACAUACGGUGGUGGAGGAGACUUGUAGUGAACCUUAGGUGUUGGAGAGUAAUAUGGUGGUGGUGGAGAACUGUAAACAUAUGGUGGUGGAGGAGACUUGUAUACAACCUUAGGAGAUGGAGAGUAAUAUGGUGGUGGUGGAGAGUUAUAGACGUAUGGGGGAGGAGAAGACUUGUAUACGACCUUUGGAGAUGGGGAAUAACAUGGAGGAGGUGGUGGACACACACAUACAUGUGGGUGUGGUGGAGAUUUGUAGUGUACUUUAGGAGAAGGUGAGUAGUAUGGAGGUGGUGGAGAACUGUAAACAUAUGGUGGUGGAGGAGAUUUGUAGUGUACUUUAGGUGAAGGUGAAUAAUAUGGUGGUGGUGGAGAACUGUACACAUAUGGUGGUGGAGGAGACUUGUAGGCUACCUUAGGGGAUGGAGAAUAGUAUGGCGGUGGUGGGGAACUGUAAACAUAUGGUGGUGGAGGAGACUUGUAAUCCACCUUAGGCGAUGGAGAGUAGUACGCUGGUGGUGGGGAACUGUAAACAUAUGGGGGAGGAGGAGAUUUGUACACAACCUUAGGGGAUGGAGAGUAGUAUGGUGGUGGUGGGGAGCUGUAAACAUAUGGGGGUGGAGGGGACUUGUAGUAUACUUUAGGAGCUGGAGAGUAGUAUGGUGGUGGUGGAGAACUGUAGACAUAUGGUGGAGGAGGAGACUUGUAGUCAACCUUUGGGGACGGAGAGUAGUACGGUG
rnacentral:lncRNA from 1 species